CAUGGUAUGUAUGAUAGAUUGAGUAUCUGUUUAUUAAAUGUAAAAUAAUUCUUCAUUCUUUUCCCUGCAGAUAAAAAGGUCUUCUACCCCGUGGUCUUCAGUCUGUACAAUCCCGCCAUCGUUUAUGGAAAUCUGGAGCUGGCUCCACCCAUUGAACUCCAACUGAUUCAUAAAAAAGACGCUGGAUUCUGGAGAGACUUCGGUUUUGGGAUGACGUGUCAGUAUCGCUCAGAUUUCCUAAAUAUCGGAGGGUUCGACCUGGACGUGAAAGGCUGGGGCGUGGAGGACGUCCACCUGUACAGGAAGUACCUGCGGAGCGACUGAUCGUGAUGCGGACGCCGGUGUCGGGCCUGUUCCACCUGUGGCACGAGAAGCAGUGUGCAGACGAACUGACCCCAGAGCAGUACCGCAUGUGCAUCCAGUCCAAAGCCAUGAACGAGGCGUCGCACUCUCACCUGGGGAUGCUGG